rnacentral:lncRNA from 1 species
UGCUCUACAUGAAUUAUAUUUUGAAGUGAUAUAUUUUACAAUCUUUACAUGAAAACAACUUCAAAGUUUCCAUCUCCUGCUUUCCAAACCUCAAGAAUCAAAUAAGAACGGAAAUUAAACUCUUAAAUAAUACAAAAUUUCCUAUAAUUUUUAAUUUUCUCGGUUAGGAACCAAGAACAAUAUAAUUUAUAAUGCUGAAAAUAAAAAAAGAAAAAAAAGUAGAAAGAUAAAAAGAUAAUACUAUUAAGAUCCUAAAAAAAGAAAAAGAAAAAAGUAUCCACAAACAUUACCUUAUCUCAAAAAAGAAUUAAUAAGAAAACAAAAUAUAUAUUAUAUAUGUGAAAAAAGAAAAGAAAAAAAAGGUAUCAUUAUCUUUUAAAGGAAUCUACGGCGGCGAUGUGUUGAAAAAUUAUGAUCUCCGAUUUAGGGUUUUUAGGGAAAAAUGAGAAGAGAUAUAUAAAUCCUUGAAGUAUCGAAAACCCCUUUUUUUUUCUUUCUUCAGUGCAGUUUCAGCUGCCCUCCGAUUGAAAACCCUCAAAUCUCCGUCUUCUUCUCCGCCCUCGGAUCCAGGGCUCCGACCAUCUAUCCCUUCUUUUACCUUCCCUCUCCUCCACUAUCAUUCUCUCCCCCACCCACCCCUUUCACAACAAACCCUAAAAAAACAAACUCUUUUUCUUCUUACCACAGAAAAAAAAAAACCCCAAAACAUUCUUCUUCCUAUUUCUUCCUUACUAUCAAUUUCUCUUCUUUUUUCUGUUCAUCUUGCCGUUACUGCUUUAUUCUGAAUAAUAGAGGAGAGGGAAGCGAGUCAAAGAUAAAAAAAAAUCUAAAAAUUUUUUGAAAAAUCAAAAAGAAAACAACACACAACAUUCCACCGAGUUUUUCUCUCUCUCCACCAUGGCUCAGGUUCCACCUCAACCUCAAGUUCCUAACUCCGGCGCCGAUCCGGCUGCCAAUGGAGGGGCAAAUCAGCAUGUCACCACCUCCCUC